GGUAAACUAAGCUCAAAUAAGGGAAUUAUUUAAUCUAAUAAAAAACAAAUAGAAAUUUAUAAAAAGCCUGGAACUUUUAAGAUAAAUGAAAAUGCCAAACUAUCACAAUGUCUCACAUAGAACUCCUAAAAAUGCAAGGCAGCAACAUUAAACUCCUAAUGAUUCAAUAUGACCUCAAAGUGUUAUCAUAAAAAUUAUAACAAUUUGAACUCUUAAUAUUCCACUUUUUACCUUCACACUUGUUUUGAGACCAAAAAAUAAACAAGCUAGCUUUUAAUGGGAUAUCACUGCCCCACAAAUUCCGUACGUCUAACCAAUAAAUUUGGAAACUUAGACAAGGCAUUAGAGGAAAAUCUCCAGGUGUAGCAAAGAGAAAUCACACCUUUGUUU
rnacentral:misc_RNA from 1 species